rnacentral:rRNA from 1 species
GGUCGAGUCGGCCUGCGCGGAAGAUGUAACGGGGCUAAACCAUGCACCGAAGCUGCGGCAGCGAACGUAUCACCCAAGACAACUUUACGGAGUUGACGAUUGACGGAGCGAAGCGACGUCAAAGCGUUCAUUAAAGUCGAGUUGGCUUAGGGAUACGUUCGUUGGGUAGGGGAGCGUUCUGUAAGCCUGUGAAGGUGUGUCGUGAGGCAUGCUGGAGGUAUCAGAAGUGCGAAUGCUGACAUAAGUAACGAUAAAGCGGGUGAAAAGCCCGCUCGCCGGAAGACCAAGGGUUCCUGUCCAACGUUAAUCGGGGCAGGGUGAGUCGACCCCUAAGGCGAGGCCGAAAGGCGUAGUCGAUGGGAAACGGGUUAAUAUUCCCGUACUUGGUGUUACUGCGAAGGGGGGACGGAGAAGGCUAUGUUGGCCGGGCGACGGUUGUCCCGGUUUAAGCGUGUAGGUGUGUGUUCCAGGUAAAUCCGGUUCACUUUAACACUGAGGCGUGACGACGAGGCACUACGGUGCUGAAGCAACAAAUGCCCUGCUUCCAGGAAAAGCCUCUAAGCAUCAGGUAACACGAAAUCGUACCCCAAACCGACACAGGUGGUCAGGUAGAGAAUACCAAGGCGCUUGAGAGAACUCGGGUGAAGGAACUAGGCAAAAUGGUGCCGUAACUUCGGGAGAAGGCACGCUGACACGUAGGUGAAGUGAUUUACUCAUGGAGCUGAAGUCAGUCGAAGAUACCAGCUGGCUGCAACUGUUUAUUAAAAACACAGCACUGUGCAAACACGAAAGUGGACGUAUACGGUGUGACGCCUGCCCGGUGCCGGAAGGUUAAUUGAUGGGGUCAGCGCAAGCGAAGCUCCUGAUCGAAGCCCCGGUAAACGGCGGCCGUAACUAUAACGGUCCUAAGGUAGCGAAAUUCCUUGUCGGGUAAGUUCCGACCUGCACGAAUGGCGUAAUGAUGGCCAGGCUGUCUCCACCCGAGACUCAGUGAAAUUGAACUCGCUGUGAAGAUGCAGUGUACCCGCGGCAAGACGGAAAGACCCCGUGAACCUUUACUAUAGCUUGACACUGAACAUUGAGCCUUGAUGUGUAGGAUAGGUGGGAGGCUUUGAAGUGUGGACGCCAGUCUGCAUGGAGCCGACCUUGAAAUACCACCCUUUAAUGUUUGAUGUUCUAACGUGGACCCGUAAUCCGGGUUGCGGACAGUGUCUGGUGGGUAGUUUGACUGGGGCGGUCUCCUCCUAAAGAGUAACGGAGGAGCACGAAGGUUGGCUAAUCCUGGUCGGACAUCAGGAGGUUAGUGCAAUGGCAUAAGCCAGCUUGACUGCGAGCGUGACGGCGCGAGCAGGUGCGAAAGCAGGUCAUAGUGAUCCGGUGGUUCUGAAUGGAAGGGCCAUCGCUCAACGGAUAAAAGGUACUCCGGGGAUAACAGGCUGAUACCGCCCAAGAGUUCAUAUCGACGGCGGUGUUUGGCACCUCGAUGUCGGCUCAUCACAUCCUGGGGCUGAAGUAGGUCCCAAGGGUAUGGCUGUUCGCCAUUUAAAGUGGUACGCGAGCUGGGUUUAGAACGUCGUGAGACAGUUCGGUCCCUAUCUGCCGUGGGCGCUGGAGAACUGAGGGGGGCUGCUCCUAGUACGAGAGGACCGGAGUGGACGCAUCACUGGUGUUCGGGUUGUCAUGCCAAUGGCACUGCCCGGUAGCUAAAUGCGGAAGAGAUAAGUGCUGAAAGCAUCUAAGCACGAAACUUGCCCCGAGAUGAGUUCUCCCUGAGACUUAGAGUCUCCUGAAGGAACGUUGAAGACGACGACGUUGAUAGGCCGGGUGUGUAAGCGCAGCGAUGCGUUGAGCUAACCGGUACUAAUGAACCGUGAGGCUUAACCUU